GCUUGCUACUGAUCUUAGCGGCGGACGGGUGAGUAAUACUUAGGAAUCUGGCUAUUAGUGGGGGACAACAUUUCGAAAGGGAUGCUAAUACCGCAUACGUCCUACGGGAGAAAGCAGGGGAUCAGUAAUGACCUUGCGCUAAUAGAUGAGCCUAAGUCGGAUUAUCUAGUUGGUGGGGUAAAGGCCUACCAAGGCGACGAUCUGUAGCGGGUCUGAGAGGAUGAUCCGCCACACUGGGACUGAGACACGGCCCAGACUCCUACGGGAGGCAGCAGUGGGGAAUAUUGGACAAUGGGGGGAACCCUGAUCCAGCCAUGCCGCGUGUGUGAAGAAGGCCUUAUGGUUGUAAAGCACUUUAAGCGAGGAGGAGGGUACUGGUAUUAAUACUACCAGGUACUGGACGUUACUCGCAGAAUAAGCACCGGCUAACUCUGUGCCAGCAGCCGCGGUAAUACAGAGGGUGCGAGCGUUAAUCGGAUUUACUGGGCGUAAAGCGUGCGUAGGCGGCUAAUUGAGUCGGAUGUGAAAUCCCCGAGCUUAACUUGGGAAUUGCAUUCGAUACUGGUUAGCUAGAGUGUGGGAGAGGAUGGUAGAAUUCCAGGUGUAGCGGUGAAAUGCGUAGAGAUCUGGAGGAAUACCGAUGGCGAAGGCAGCCAUCUGGCCUAACACUGACGCUGAGGUACGAAAGCAUGGGGAGCAAACAGGAUUAGAUA
rnacentral:rRNA from 1 species